rnacentral:lncRNA from 1 species
GAGGAAAGGAAAGAAGCAGUGCUCCGACUGUGGUUACUUGGCUCUGAGAAAUCCGAAUCACUCGCAGACGAUUUCAGGUGGUUCCUAAACCUCGUUUCUAGAUUCAUCUGCGAGUCUUCAAACACUGAGUCCUCAUCUGAUAGCUGAAGCUUUUCAAGUUCUUUGUUAAUCUUUUGAACAUCAGCAACUGUUGUAGUUGCGGCAGGGUCACUGUCAGACUUGGAGUAUUCUGCACACAGAUUGAGGAUCGUCUCCAGCCGCUGUCGCUCCAAGCGUUCCAUCUCCUGCUCCCGAAGCCGCUCUUCCCUCUGCCUCCUGUGAUAGUCCAUGAGGUCUUCUCUCCCUGAAAUGGAGCUGAUGCUGUUCUUACGCUCUCUCACAGAGGUCUGCAGUGAGUUUGGUGUCUGCCUGUAACUUUCCAAGUCUGUAUCAUCGAAUUCCAUGGAACUGGUGGAGAGGUUUCUUCUGAUAGAGAACGAUCUGUCAAAAUCCAC